rnacentral:rRNA from 1 species
GACGUAGGGCGCAAGCGUUGUCCGGAUUUAUUGGGCGUAAAGAGCUCGUAGGCGGCUUGUUGCGUCGUCCGUGAAAUCCCUCAGCUUAACUGGGGAACUGCGUCUGAUACUGAGUGGCUUGAGUGCAGGAGAGGAAUGCGGAAUUCCAGGUGUAGCGGUGAAAUGCGUAGAUAUCUGGAGGAACACCGGUGGCGAAGGCGGCAUUCUGGACUGUAACUGACACUGAGGAACGAAAGCCAGGGGAGCAAACGGG